AAAAAAAGAAAAAAGAAAACUCUCCUAAAAAAUAUCUAAAACCCUUGAAGGCUGAAACGGUAAAACCUGUUCUUUCUGUUUCUCAAAAUCUAGAAGAAAGUAGAGCAGUGAAGGCAUAAGCAUGAGCAUAGCUUCGUUAUCAUCAGUAUCAGUGGACAUGGCCACUACAUUCGUCUCUUUAACUUCUCAUCAUCCCACCAGAAUCCUCCGCUCUACUCUACUCCCUUUCUUACUCAAACCACAAAAAACCCAUCAAUCCCUCCUUCUCAAAACUACUCCCUCCCUCCAACGCCGCCGCUUCUCUGUCUCCUCCAUCGACACGACCUCCUCUGCCCCUCAGACCGACGAUUCCGGUUUAACCACCAAGAUUCCUCCCGAUAAUCGCAUUUCUGCCACUAUUAUCACCGGUUUUUUGGGCUCUGGCAAGACAACAUUGCUCAAUCAUAUUUUGACUGCCGACCAUGGGAAGCGCAUAGCAGUUAUUGAGAAUGAGUAUGGUGAAGUUGACAUUGAUGGGUCUCUUGUCGCUGCAAAAACAGCUGGGGCUGAGGACAUUAUAAUGCUGAACAACGGUUGUUUAUGCUGUACUGUAAGGGGUGAUCUUGUCAGGAUGAUUGCAGAUUUGGUUAACAAGAAGAAAGGAAAAUUUGAUCAUAUUGUAAUUGAGACUACGGGGCUGGCAAAUCCAGCACCAAUCAUUCAAACUUUUUAUGCUGAAGACCAGGUUUUUAAUGAUGUCAAAUUGGACGGUGUUGUGACUUUAGUUGAUGCUAAACAUGCUCAUUUGCAUCUUGAUGAGGUUAAGCCAGAGGGAGUGGUGAACGAGGCAGCGGAGCAAAUUGCUUAUGCUGAUAGGAUUAUAGUAAAUAAGAUUGAUCUUGUUGGUGAGCAAGAAAUUGCUUCUUUGGUGCAGCGGAUAAGGAAGAUCAAUCGUAUGGCUAAUUUGAAGUGUACACAAUAUGGAAAAGUUGACUUGGAUUAUGUCCUUGGCAUUGGAGGCUUUGAUUUGGAGAGGAUUGAGAGUGCUGUCAAUGAUGAAGAUAGAAAGGAAGAUCAUGCCAGUCAUGAUCACAACGACAACCACAGCCACAAUCAUGCUCAUGAUCAUGAUCAUGAUCACCAUCAUCAUCAUGAUGAACAUGACCACAAGCACGAUCAUCAUGAUGGUCGUCAUUCCCAUGACCACACUCAUGAUCCUGGUGUUUCUUCUGUCAGCAUAGUCUGUGAAGGGAGCCUAGAUUUAGAAAAGGCUAACUUCUGGCUUGGUUCUUUAUUGAUGGAACGUAGUGAGGACAUAUACCGAAUGAAAGGUCUAUUAUCUGUUCAGGGGAUGAACGAGAGAUUUGUAUUCCAGUCCAUAAUUAGAAGGAAGGAAUCUCUCAUGCAACAACUGCCUGAUGUACGCCCAUGAUGCAAUAUGUUGUCUCCCGUCUCUUAACCGUGUAUCUAUCUGAUGUUUCCACCAAAGAACAAGCUCCACCUAUCAGGGUGUUCAUGACAUAUUCGAAGGUUCACCUGAUCGGUUAUGGGGCCCUGAGGAACCCAGAAUGAACAAGAUUGUGUUCAUAGGGAAGAACUUGGACGCUCAGGAAUUAAAGAAAGGCUUUAAAGCCUGUUUACUGUAAAAUUUAGAACAAUUAAGAUAUUUAGUUAACAUAUCUUAAUCUUGUAUUCUUGAUGAGCUAACCAUAAUGUACACAAUUGUUUUGACUU